rnacentral:lncRNA from 1 species
GUUUUAUUAGGUCUUUCCACUUUUCUGUGGAAAGACCUAUUGUUUUUCUUCUGAUUAUUUUUUUUUUCUUCCGCCAAAUUUUGUUCUUGCGAUAAACAUUUGUUUCGCAAUAUGUCGCUUAGAUAUUUGGUAUAUGAUAUCGAACAGUUUAUGCGCUUUUGAAAUUUACCCUGCGUAACCGAAUACUUUUCUUUGUAGGAGUUAUCUCCCCAAACACUGUUUUCCUUGUUAGCGCAUCUCCUUCGCAACCGUAAAAGAUUACGACAAAUUUAUUUUAUAAAAUUGCUUGUUAUAUCCUUCGCAUGAUUUGUCCAAUUUCGACCGAAGCAAUAUGAACGCUCCAUAUGAGAGUUAUUUCCCUUUUUAUAUUUGAAAUUUUGAAAUGUAUUUUAAACUGGAACACCAUAAGUGAUAGAGACCUAGGAUCUUUUGAUGUGAGGUCCUUGGUCCAAAAAAAUGAAAAUUAGGUCAAGGUCAAAGGUCAAGGUCAUAUUCUAAUUUUUGAAUUUGUCUUAUUUUCACUCAUUUUCAUUAACCUUAUAAGAUAUCGACAAAUUAUUUUUACUAAAUUGUUAGUUGCGACAUGUCGUAACAUAAUAAUUUUGGUUGAAAGGGUGCGUAGACAAUAAAUGGGAGUUUUAG